rnacentral:rRNA from 1 species
GAGUAACACGUGAGUAACCUGCCCCCUUCUCUUGGGAUAACGUCCAGAAAUGGGUGCUAAUACCGGAUAUUUACGCUUCAUCGCAUGGUGGGGUGUGGAAAGGUUUUUCUGGUGGGGGAUGGGCUCGCGGCCUAUCAGCUUGUUGGUGGGGUGAUGGCCUACCAAGGCUUUGACGGGUAGCCGGCCUGAGAGGGUGACCGGCCACACUGGGACUGAGAUACGGCCCAGACUCCUACGGGAGGCAGCAGUGGGGAAUAUUGCACAAUGGGCGCAAGCCUGAUGCAGCGACGCCGCGUGAGGGAUGACGGCCUUCGGGUUGUAAACCUCUUUCAGUAGGGACGCAGGCCUCAGUUUUUGUUGGGGUUGACUUUACUUACAGAAGAAGCGCCGGCUAACUACGUGCCAGCAGCCGCGGUAAUACGUAGGGCGCAAGCGUUGUCCGGAAUUAUUGGGCGUAAAGAGCUCGUAGGCGGUUUGUCGCGU